rnacentral:pre_miRNA from 7 species
CUCCUUCCCUCCUACCAGCCCUGCUGGGACUAAAGUGCUGACAGUGCAGAUAGUGGUCCUCUCUGUGCUACCGCACUGUGGGUACUUGCUGCUCCAGCAGGGCACGUGCAACGCCCAUGGA